rnacentral:lncRNA from 1 species
CAGAGCUUGUUCAGACAUUGAUAAGGUUAUCCAUUACAUCCUGGGCCAUCACCAGUCAUGUUGAGUUUUGUCUUGCCACAAGACUUCAAUGACUCUGGAAGAGAGAGUGCCUGGAAACUUUAUGCAACUCUGCCUCACUUAAAUCCAAUUUAUGCUUGGGUCUAAAGACAUUAACAGUGAUAUCUUUUUGGUCCUCUUCAAGGAUAAAGAACAACCACCAACCAACUUUCCCAUCUAUGUAAAUAUUUUAUGAGAAUAGUCUACACACACUUUCAGGGCAUCUUCCAUGGGGGGCAUUAGUAGGGAAUAGGCAGACUUACAAGUAAUAUUCUAGAGUAGGUCACAUUUUUAUCAUCACACAAUUGAGGGAAAGAUGCUCCUGUGUUAAUUGUUCAUUAGUUAGAAAGCAUUUGAUCUAGGCACAGCUAGUUGACUCAGUGGAUAGGAAGCCAAGCUUAGAAAUAGGAGGUCCUGGGUUCAAAUUUGACUUCAGAAGCUUCCUCACUAUGUUACCCUGGGCAAGUCAAUUAACCCCAAUGACCAGUCCUAUUCACUUUUCUACCUUGGAGUUGAUACUUAAUAUCAAUUCUAAGAAGAAAGAAAGAAAGAAAGAAAGAAAGAAAGAAAGAAAGAAAGAAAGAAAGAAAGAAAGAAAGAAAGAAAGAAAGAAAGAAAGAAAGAAAGAAAGAAAGAAAGAAAGAAAGAAAGAAAGAAAGAAAGAAAGAAAGAAAGAAAGAAAGAAAGAAAGAAAGAAAGAAAGAAAGAAAGAAAGAAAGAAAGAAAGAAAGAAAGAAAGAAAGAAGGAAAGGAAAGAAGGAAGGAAGAAAGAAAGAGAAAGAAAGAAAGAAAGAAAGAAAGAAAGGAAGGAAGGAAGGAAGGAAGGAAGGAAGGAAGGAAGGAAGGAAGGAAGAUGGUUCGAUGGAUGGAUGGAUGGAUGGAUAGAUAGCUAUAGAGAUGAAACUAUGUCUUACUUAUUUCCAUUAAUGUUCUUUCUCUAGAUCACUAGGACAAGCAACACACCGACUUUUACUCUCUCAAGCAUAAAUGAUUUCUCCUUUUGCAUAUCAAGAAAAAAUUAAUGAAAAUUAGAAGGGCAUAGCCUGGGCUGGGCUAGGUAUUCAAGUAGUAACUUGAGAAAAAGGGAUAAGGGGAAAAGGAAGACUUAGGGCACUGGACAUCUAUAUCUUCUACACAAUUUUGUUUGGGGCAGGUCCAGGCAAAACUACAUUUCUACUAUGAUUAGGCAUUGUACUGCAUGAAGAAGUGUCAGACACACUGUUAGCUGGCUGCACAAUCCCAGGGACACUCCUGGAUGGAGACUGAACCAGAUUAAAAUGUAAUUGGCCAAUGGGGCAGCUAGGUAACUCAGUGGAUUGAGAGUCUGGCCUAGAGAAAGGAGGUCCUGAGUUCAAAUUAGACCUCAGACACUUCCUAACUGUGUGACCCUGGACAAAUCACUUAACCCCAAUUGCCUAGCCCUUACCAUAUUUUAAGACAGAAGAUAAGGAUUGUUGGGAAUUUUUAAGUGUAAUUUAGAAAUAUUUAACAAAAUCAAUAAAACAUUUAUACACCAUUACUAUGUGCCA